UGACACAAGGCAGUAUGGAAGUGAUUACUCAAAGCUACAAAACUUGAUAACAAUCGUGUGAAAUCCACAACCAUACAUUGUCCUUCAAAGAAGAGCCAUUCCAUAACAAAAAGGGUCACAUUAUUUUAUUUUGAAAAAAAAUAAUAUUCUUAUUAUUACAAGCAAGGUCUGGAAGAGUGGAGAAUUUGGUGGGUCAUUACCAUUCAUAUCAAAUUGUGAGUUAGCUUUGGUGGAACAAGUUUUUCUCUUUUCAGGAAAGUGCUUUUCAAGGAUUUUAUUGGAUAGAAGCAAGUUUCUUUGCAUUGUUUUGCUUGUGUUUUCAAUUGGGUUUUUUUAUAUGAAGUGAGUUUAAUGGUUUUCUGAAGGUUUCAUAUUUGAGGGAAUAGAAGGAACUAGGAAGUAAUUUUUAACAAGGAGGUUCAUAAAACAACAAGAGUUUAAUCAUGUCUUUGACAUUAUUAAGGGUUGCUUCCUCACCUAACUUAGAGGUCUCGAAUUCCAAUGGUUUACUCGAUUCUUUCGGGGUUAAGAAGCUCGUAGAUUCUUCGAAGUUCUUAUCUAGAGACUUUGUGUCAAUUAGAGCAAAAAAGAAUGAUAAGAAAAAGAGUAGGAGAUUUUGCAGCUUGAGUACAGAUGUGAAAUAUGCAUGUGUUGGUCAGUCUGGUUUAGAGAGUUCUAGUAACUUCCCUUUAGUAUCCAACGUGCUCGCAAGCACUGCAGUAGGAGAAGUGGCUAUUUCGUCUGAGCAGAAGGUCUAUGAUGUGGUGUUGAAGCAGGCGUCGUUGGUUAAGAGGAAGCUGAGCUCUACCGGUGAGCUUGAGGUCAAACCGGAAAUUGUUUUGCCCGGGAAUUUGAGCUUGUUGAGUGAGGCCUAUGAUCGUUGUGGAGAAAUUUGCGCAGAAUAUGCUAAAACAUUUUACUUGGGUACUCUUCUAAUGACUCCAGAAAGGCGAAGAGCGAUCUGGGCUAUAUAUGUGUGGUGUAGGAGGACGGAUGAACUUGUCGAUGGCCCUAAUGCUUCACAUAUUACAGCAACUGCUAUGGAUAGGUGGGAAUCAAGAUUGGAUGAACUUUUCCAAGGACGUCCAUUUGAUAUGCUUGAUGCUGCUUUAUCAGAUACGGUUGCCAAAUUUCCUGUUGAUAUCCAGCCAUUUAAAGAUAUGAUAGAAGGAAUGAGAAUGGAUCUAAAGAAAUCAAGAUACAAAACCUUUGACGAAUUAUAUCUUUAUUGUUACUAUGUUGCUGGAACUGUUGGUUUGAUGAGUGUUCCAGUAAUGGGAAUUUCAACGCUUUCACAAGCCCCAACAGAAAGUGUAUACAAUGCUGCCUUGGCCUUAGGAAUUGCAAAUCAGCUAACCAACAUACUCAGAGAUGUCGGAGAAGAUGCAAGGAGAGGAAGAGUGUAUCUACCACAAGAUGAGUUGGCUCUGGCAGGGCUUUCAGAUGAUGACAUAUUUGCCGGUAAGGUGACUGACAAGUGGAGGAACUUCAUGAAGAGUCAAAUAAAAAGGGCGAGAAUGUUUUUCGAUGAGGCAGAAAAGGGAGUGACGGAGCUUAAUGAACAGAGCAGAUGGCCGGUAAGAAAUUCAAACAAAUAUCAUUAUUCAAAACCUUCUUAAUAGCUGAAAUUUCGUUGUUUUGGAGUAUAUAUUAUGUGUGUGUAGUUUAUGUCUUUGCAUGACAAUGUGAGAAGUAGAUUCUGAGUGUUGAGUCUAAUCAUGAAGGGUAAAGAUUAAAACAGUCAUAUAAGUUUUUUAAUCAGUCACGUGACGUUUUAUAAAGGAUCUAAUCAUCAAAUCAUUGAAAACAUUUAACUUUAACCAUAACUAUUUCUAAAGUCACACAUAUCAGUGAUUAUGAUUUGUUAAUAGCGCAAAGGUUUUUUACACUAGUAGUACAUCAAAAUUAAACUCGUAACUUUUUAAUAUUGACCAUCUGUGUAUAUAAGGUUUACACUUCUCGCUCGUGUAAAAAUGGUUAUAUCACUAGAUACAUCUUGACUAUAUUGGUUGUCUCGACUCGUGACAAUUUAACGUCAAGUGUCAUUGACCAAGGUUUAAGGUUUUUGACUUCUAUUCAUGAUGAGUUAACUUUAAUAUGUCACACUAGUAAUCAUUUUACAACUGUCUCCGAGGAGAUUUAAAUUCUUCCUUUGAAGUUACAAGACCGAACUCUUACUAUUGUGAGAUGACAUCUCGUGUAUGUUUAAUUUCAAUAUGUAACACGGUGUUGUGGAUGUUGCAGGUGUGGGCGUCUCUGCUAUUAUAUCGACAAAUAUUGGACGAAAUAGAAGCUAAUGAUUACAAUAAUUUCACUAAGAGGGCUUAUGUGAGCAAAACAAAGAAGUUACUUUCUUUACCACUUGCAUAUGCUAGGUCUAUGGUUCCUCCAACAAGAAAGUUAUCUCAUGCAUAGAUCUUUUAGGUAUUUAGAAAAAUGGACAUGAUAUAAACACAGAAAAAGACAAAGUACAGUUUGUAUAUGAUGAAAAUUGUUUUAUGCAGCUUUUGAGUUAACCAAUUAUCAGUAUAAAUGCAAUCCACUUUUAUUUAUGCA